UUGAAGAUUCCCAAUUCGAAAUCUACCGCAUUGAUGGCUGGAGAAAACUUAAACUGAAUGCAGUCCCAACGCUUUUCGAUGUGCCCAACUCCCCGCCACGAAUCAACCCACCUAGACGAAAAUCACUGUACAAGAAUCGUGAUGAAAACGCGACGCCUGCUCAAGUAGCAAUAAUCGAUUGUUUUGACCAAUCGGUGCUUCAAGAAUUGAAUUCGGUUAACCAAGAGAAAGCUACUGAGGAGUGUGACGAGCCAUUUGAAAUGACGCAACAGCCG